rnacentral:rRNA from 1 species
AUGUGUGCCCAAGCAUUGAGGCAGUCAAAGUAGGCAAAUCCGCUUUGAUAAUGCUGGGAUGUGAUGGGGAGCGAAAUUUAGUAGCGAAGUAGCUGAUUUCACACUGUCAAGAAAAGUCUCUAUCGAGGUUAAAGGUACCCGUACCGCAAACCGACACAGGUGGGUGAGGAGAGUAUCCUAAGGCCAGCGAGAGAACUGUUGUUAAGGAACUCGGCAAAAUGACCCCGUAACUUAGGGAUAAGGGGUGCCACCAUCAGGUGGCCGCAGAGAAUAGGCCCAAGCGACUGUUUACCAAAAACAUAGGUUUCUGCUAAGUCGCAAGACGAUGUAUAGGAGCUGACGCCUGCCCGGUGCUGGAAGGUUAAGGGGAUCUGUUAGAGCAAUCGAAGCAGUGAACUUAAGCCCCAGUAAACGGCGGCCGUAACUAUAACGGUCCUAAGGUAGCGAAAUUCCUUGUCGGGUAAGUUCCGACCCGCACGAAAGGCGUAACGAUUUGGGCACUGUCUCAACAACAGACUCGGUGAAAUUGUAAUUCCGGUGAAGAUGCCGGAUACCUGCGACAGGACGGAAAGACCCCAUGGAGCUUUACUGUAGCUUGACAUUGGGUCUUGGUACUACAUGUACAGGAUAGGUGGGAGGCUUUGAAACCAGGACGCCAGUUUUGGCGGAGCCAUCCUUGGGAUACCACCCUUGUA